UGUCACAGCCCGUCCCGGAGGUACCUUUGACGGGAACGUGAAAUGACUGAAUUGCCCUUAACGGGCACUAAGGUGUGUGUGUGAUAUGUUUUAGAUAUUCAUAUUUUUCCUACACUAUUGGAAAUAUUAUUUAAGUUAGAUAAGAAUAUUGGAAGGUUGGAUUGUUGUUUGGUUAGGGAAUUAGAAAUGGAUGGUGUGGAUUGACUUUGGACCCCUACACCCUCACAUUUCCUUCCCUCUUUCCCGUACCCUGUCUCUCUCUCCUCCCUCACGACUCUCUCUCACUCUCUCUCACCCAAAACGUACGGCACACACCCAAAUCCUCCAAAACUCGACGGAUCGAGGCAACCAAGGUAUGCAUCUUCAUCCUUUCGACAUUCUGAGUUCAUUGGUACUAGUUUUAGGAAGUGAAACCCUCGAAAUCACGGGAAACCCGAACCUCCAUUUUUGAGUUACUGUUCAUGCACACGUAAAAUGUCGUGUUUAAGGGAAUUCUAAGCUUGUAGUGAGCUUAGUGAAGUCCUAAGGAGGCUCGGAGUACUUCGUUUGAAGGAUUUGGACGUCGGGAUCACGUGGUUCCAUUUUGGCCGAAUUUCUUGAGAAUUUUCCGGUGAGAUUUCUUGAUUUUUAGAGCCUUAAAGUAGUGUAUUGUGAGUCUACAUGUUUGGGGCUUCAAUUUGAUAUAUUAUACGAAGAAAAUGGUUGAGAAACGAAGGAGAACGAAGCAUUUGAAAAUUCCCCAGUUUUCCGGCCACCGGAAAAACCAGUCCGGCGAACCCGCGAGGAAGAAGGUGCGCGUGGGCGCGCGUGGACCCGUGCCUUCCUUGGCGCGUGGGGGCGCGUGCUACAGUAAAAAAUUAUUUUAAAAAUAUUUCGACGUCCGUGACGUCGAGUAGAUCACUGUGGUAUAUUCAUAUACCCAAAUUGAGCACCGUAUGAGAAAGUUAUUAAGGAUUGUUGGUUAGGUGUUCGAAUAACGUUUUAUAGUUUUCGCAUUAGGUGAAAAUGUGAAUUGAUGAUCCGACCGUUGGAUCGUUACCAAACUUUGAUACGUUGUAAUACGUAAUAUUUGAGGAUUAUUGGAACUUACGGAUUGGGAAUCCGAGUUACGGAUCUUCCGGAAUUGGAAUUGUAAGUUCAUAAAAUAAAAUGUUAACCGUCACUUAGUUUUGGAAAUUGACGGAGAUCCGACCGUUGGAUGGUAAUGAAAUUUUAGGAUGUUAUCCUAGAGAUAUAUUGUGGACCUCUGGAAGUUAUGGAUUUAAAAUCUGAGUGGUGGAUCUUCCGGAUUGAACUACGUAGUGACGUAUUUUAUAUAAGUUAUAUAUUCUAUCGAUAUGAAUUCUGAGGUUGGAAUUGAUUAUUGUUUUAGGCGCCGAUCGUCAUGACGCUUUGGCGUAUUGUGCUAGGGAGUUGUAGGGCGAACUCCAGGUGAGUGGGCAGUUUUGUUUUCCGUAUAUAUAUAUACUUGACGUUUUCCCAGAAAUUGAAAUUGAAUGAAAGUAUGCUUUAAAUGCAAUGUAUAAAAUUAUAUGAAAAGUAUAUUGAAAUGUGAAUUGAGAUGCCAUGCAUAAAAGUAUAUGAAAAGUAUAUAGAAAUGUGAAUCGAAUUGCCAUGCAUGAAAUGAUAUGAAAAGUAUGAAAUUGAGAUAUGAUGCAUAUGAAUGAAUGGUGCGGCGGACGCACAGGUGAGUAUCAGGUGAGUAUUUAAAUACUGAUAUGAUGAUGUUGAUGUAUAUUGAGCUCAAAUCCUGCACCAUAGUUUAGUGCUUAUAGUAUUCACCGCAUCGCACGCUCGCCUUGGAUCCAAGUAGAUGCUAGUCGUACAGUCCACGCGGAGUGGGUACGACAGGCCAGUCGCGAGAGUGUUAGUGAGAUUCCGACUGGUGGGUGACCUUAGAUUAUGUGCACAGAUGAUUUAUGAGAAGCACUAGAGCGUAACUUAUGUGCAGAAGGCCGGACAGGUCACGCGGAGUGACUCCGGCAGAGUGUGAGAGUGAUAGAUUUUGAGCUCUAGGUUCAACCGUACAGGGCUAUUAGAGGGCCUCCGGUUGAUUACUUCUUGCACCUGAUAUAAUUAUUGUUGAUGCAUUCAUACUUAACUGUUGAAUUCCGACAUGGCAUGGCAUAUUUGUAUUGAAAAAUGUUGAGUUAAUGAAUUGAAGUAUUGAGAAUAUAUAUGUAUAUUUAUAUUUUACAUUUCUGGGAAAGUAUACAGGUUUUACGGAGAGGGGUUACAACGUUUUGAGAAAAGUUUGGAUUUGGAAAAGAAUUGUUUUACUGACCCACUCAAUUUUGGUUUUGCGCCCCUCCAGGUUCAGGAAUCACAAAGGUGUGGUGACUACGAGGAAUUCGACGGUGUUCUGACAGACUGGAUCAGAUUAGGACUCACCUUCGGGUGUAUCAACUUAUAAAUUGUAUAAUUAAAGCUUCCGUACUGUGCAAAUGGUUACGUCACUCUCACGUGACGGCCAGCAUGCCCUCAUUCGGGACGGGGUGUGUCAUAAUUAAUUACCUUUAUUCUACUUAAAAAUAUAGGUAAUUUAUUUUACACAGAUAUAAUAACAACAAAAUGUGAAUAACGUAUACAUGCAAAAUAAUUUACCUACAAUGAUUGUCAAACAAAAAAAAGAAAUGGAACAGAUGAUGGUAA
rnacentral:lncRNA from 1 species